CAGCAGGAGACAGUCCUGCCGGGGUAACAGUCAGGAGCCCCGUAGCUUGGAUCGCAGGGUGGCGGGAGACCAAGACUCUGAAGCCGAUCGACAGCACCUUCCUUGGGGAGGUGGCGAGUCACCAGGCCGUAACAACA
rnacentral:ncRNA from 1 species